rnacentral:rRNA from 1 species
UACAGAGGGUGCAAGCGUUAAUCGGAUUACUGGGCGUAAAGCGUGCGUAGACGGUUGCGUAAGUCAGAUGUGAAAGCCCCGGGCUCAACCUGGGAAUUGCAUUUGAGACUGCGUAGCUAGGGUGCGGAAGAGGGAAGCGGAAUUUCCGGUGUAGCGGUGAAAUGCGUAGAUAUCGGAAGGAACACCAGUGGCGAAAGCGGCUUCCUGGUCCAGCACCGACGUUCAGGCACGAAAGCGUGGGGAGCAAACAGG